rnacentral:rRNA from 1 species
UACGAAGGGGCUAGCGUUGCUCGGAAUCACUGGGCGUAAAGGGUGCGUAGGCGGGUCUUUAAGUCAGGGGUGAAAUCCUGGAGCUCAACUCCAGAACUGCCUUUGAUACUGAAGAUCUUGAGUUCGGGAGAGGUGAGUGGAACUGCGAGUGUAGAGGUGAAAUUCGUAGAUAUUCGCAAGAACACCAGUGGCGAAGGCGGCUCACUGGCCCGAUACUGACGCUGAGGCACGGAAAGC